rnacentral:rRNA from 1 species
GCUCGUGUCGUGAGAUGUUGGGUUAAGWCCCGCAACGAGCGCAACCCUCGUUUUUAGUUGCCAUCAUUAAGUUGGGCACUCUAGAGAGACUGCCGGUGACAAACCGGAGGAAGGUGGGGAUGACGUCAAGUCAUCAUGCCCCUUACGCCUUGGGCUACACACGUACUACAAUGGCCGGGACAAAGAGUCGCAAGCAUGCGAAUGCAAGCUAAUCUCAUAAACCCGGUCUUAGUUCAGAUUGCAGGCUGCAACUCGCCUGCAUGAAGGCGGAAUCGCUAGUAAUCGCAGGUCAGCAUACUGCGGUGAAUACGUUCCCGGGCCUUGUACACACCGCCCGUCACACCAUGGAAGCUGGUCACGCCCGAAGUCGUUAUCUCAACCCGCAAGGGAGGGAGGCGCCUAAGGCAGGGCUGGUGACUGGGGUGAAGUCGUAACAAGGUAGCCGUACCGGAAGGUGCGGCUGGAUCACCUCCUUAUAGGGAGA